rnacentral:rRNA from 1 species
AACGAACGCUGGCGGCGCGCUUAACACAUGCAAGUCGAACGAGAAGGCGUAGCAAUACGCUUGUACAGUGGCGAACGGGUGAGGAAUACAUGGGUAACCUACCCUCGAGUGGGGGAUAACCCGCCGAAAGGCGGGCUAAUACCGCGUACGCUUCCGAUCUUGCGGGAUCGGAAGGAAAGCUGUCCCUUGGGGAUGGCGCUCAAGGAUGGGCUCAUGUCCUAUCAGCUUGUUGGAGGGUAACGGCCUACCAAGGCAUCGACGGGUAGCUGGUCUGAGAGGACGAUCAGCCACACUGGCACUGCGACACGGGCCAGACUCCUACGGGAGGCAGCAGUGAGGAAUAUUGCGCAAUGGGCGAAAAG